UGGGCAACCUGCCCUCAGCUCUGGGAUAACUCCAAGAAAUUGGGGCUAAUACCGGAUAUGACUGCUGACCGCAUGGUCUGGUGGUGGAAAAGAUUUAUCGGCUGGGGAUGGGCCCGCGGCCUAUCAGCUUGUUGGGUGGGGUAGUGGCCUACCAAGGCGACGACGGGUAGCCGGCCUGAGAGGGUGACCGGCCACACGUGGGACUGAGACACCGGCCCAGACCUCCGUACGGGAG
rnacentral:rRNA from 1 species